rnacentral:misc_RNA from 1 species
GGCUGGAUCACCUCCUUUCUAAGGAGUACAAAGAACGACAGUUCAAUUAAAAUUCUUAGUUUUAUCACUGUUUUUUUGGUUCAUAUUUUUUUUAAAAUUUUUGAAGUUUUUAAAAUUUUAACCAAAAGCUGUAAGGCUAACUAAAAGAAGUAAAUAGCUAGGAUAGUAUAAAACAUUUGAUAAUUAGUAGUAAAUACUUAAUAAUUAUUGAGUGGGGGUGCACCCAAUCUAUGAAAUUUAUACAAAAAUAAAUUUUUGUAAAUUUCAAAGCCGGGUACGCAAAACCCCCAAAACAUUUUUUACUAUCGCAAAAAAUAUUUUGGGGGUGUAGCUCAGUUGGGAGAGCACCUGCCUUGCAAGCAGGGGGUCAGGAGUUCGAAUCUCCUCAUCUCCACCAAGGAACCUGACAAUUAAAGAGAAAUAUAUUUCUGGUCAAGCGACCAAGGGCAUAAGGUGAAUGCCUUGGCACUGAGAGCCGAAGAAGGACGUGACAAGCUGCGAAAAGUCUCGGGGAGGAGCAAAUAUCCAUUGAUC